rnacentral:rRNA from 1 species
GACGGGACCGCACAGCGGUGGAUGAUGUGAUUAAUUCGAUCGCAACGCGAAAACCUUACCCACCUUUGACAUGGCAGGAAUCCCGAAGAGAUUUGGGAGUGCUCGAAAGAGAACCUGCACACAGGUGCUGCAUGGCUGUCGUCAGCUCGUGUCGUGAGAUGUUGGGUUAAGUCCCGCAACGAGCGCAACCCUUGCCAUUAGUUGCUACGAAAGGGCACUCUAAUGGGACUGCCGGUGACAAACCGGAGGAAGGUGGGGAUGACGUCAAGUCCUCAUGGCCCUUAUAGGUGGGGCUACACACGUCAUACAAUGGCCGGUACAGAGGGUAGCCAACCCGCGAGGGGGAGCCAAUCCCACAAAGCCGGUCGUAGUCCGGAUCGCAGUCUGCAACUCGACUGCGUGAAGUCGGAAUCGCUAGUAAUCGCGGAUCAGCAUGUCGCGGUGAAUACGUUCCCGGGUCUU